CUCAGAGAGCGCGGCUGUUUAUUUGUGUACCGAGCCGGUAACGGUCGUGUUGUCACCAGAUGAAAACUCGCUCGCAGUCACUACUAUGUUUCUAGUCUUGUAUCCACUCGGGUGUAUGUUCACUAUCGACUACACCGACGGGGCCCAAGUUCGACAUCAUGGAAAACCACGCGUCUGGGAUGAAACUGUAUGAAGAGUCAAACCUCAUGUAGCCGGGAUACCGAAGAGACUACAAGAAUGGGAAGGAGGUACACCACGCACACACACCCGUAAAUGGAUGGACACUCCCUCGCUGCCUGAAGGAAGAAGUCGGUUUUUCGUCCAGGGGUCGACAGUGGGUAAGAAGAGGAAGCAAAGUGGGAACAGAGGCCGUGGACGUCGCUUAUGCGGUUCCCGUGCAGGUGGACGAGGGCGAGGUCGUAUCUAGAUUUAAACUGCACCACGCUAUUGUUAAGUUGAAGUUUCAUACAUUUAAUAUUGACCACAGAUGUAUUGAGUAGUCUUCGCAUUGUGUUAUUCAGUACACAUGUUCAAAUACCUAUUCUACCUAUACCAGAUUUAAAAAUUACAGCUAACAUGUCAUGACGCUUUGUUGUAUAAACAUUGUAAACAUGUGACAAAUUGAAAUAAUCUGUCUGGAGUUUAUUGACAUGUUGCAAUACCUAUGCCUGGUUUUUAUAUCUUAUACUGUAUCUUGCCAUAGCCAUGUAAGAGUUGAAGGUAAUCGUUGUAUCCAUUUUAAAGGCGUUGUUAGGGGCUUUGACCUCAGUAAUGUACAGUGUUCAGUGUUAAAACAGUAACUUUAUUGUGGUAUGAUGACAUAUAAUAUUUGUACAGCAGUCAAA